AACGAACGCUGGCGGCAGGCUUAACACAUGCAAGUCGAGCGCCCCGCAAGGGGAGCGGCAGACGGGUGAGUAACGCGUGGGAAUCUACCUAUCUCUACGGAAUAACGCAUGGAAACGUGUGCUAAUACCGUAUACGUCCUUCGGGAGAACGAUUUAUCGGAGAUGGAUGAGCCCGCGUUGGAUUAGCUAGUUGGUGGGGUAAAGGCCUACCAAGGCGACGAUCCAUAGCUGGUCUGAGAGGAUGAUCAGCCACACUGGGACUGAGACACGGCCCAGACUCCUACGGGAGGCAGCAGUGGGGAAUAUUGGACAAUGGGCGCAAGCCUGAUCCAGCCAUGCCGCGUGAGUGAUGAAGGCCCUAGGGUUGUAAAGCUCUUUCACCGGUGAAGAUAAUGACGGUAACCGGAGAAGAAGCCCCGGCUAACUUCGUGCCAGCCGCCGCAGUAA
rnacentral:rRNA from 1 species